rnacentral:rRNA from 1 species
GAGGAAUAUUGGUCAAUGGGCGAGAGCCUGAACCAGCCAAGUAGCGUGCAGGAUGACGGCCCUAUGGGUUGUAAACUGCUUUUGUAUGGGGAUAAAGUCAAUCACGUGUGAUUGUUUGCAGGUACCAUACGAAUAAGGACCGGCUAAUUCCGUGCCAGCAGCCGCGGUAAUACGGAAGGUCCGGGCGUUAUCCGGAUUUAUUGGGUUUAAAGGGAGCGUAGGCUGGAGAUUAAGUGUGUUGUGAAAUGUAGACGCUCAACGUCUGACUUGCAGCGCAUACUGGUUUCCUUGAGUACGCACAACGUUGGCGGAAUUCGUCGUGUAGCGGUGAAAUGCUUAGAUAUGACGAAGAACUCCGAUUGCGAAGGCAGCUGACGGGAGCGCAACUGACGCUUAAGCUCGAAGGUGCGGGUAUCGAACAGGAUUAGAUACCCUGGUAGUCCGCACAGUAAACGAUGGAUGCCCGCUGUUGGUACCUGGUAUCAGCGGCUAAGCGAAAGCAUUAAGCAUCCCACCUGGGGAGUACGCCGGCAACGGUG